CUUCCCUCCUCGCCCCUCCCCCCCUGUCGAGCUCCGUCCUCGCCGGACCCGGAUCCGGUUCCGGUUCCGAUUCCAGGUCCGCUUCGAGAUCCAGAUCCCUUCGUGUUGGCUUCUGCGACUCGAUAUAUGGUGCAUCUAGGGCUUCUCGCUUCGCCGAUCCCGUGGGUUUAAUCCUGAUCGGUGUGAUGUAGGGCUUCGGAAUGUGGCUCUAGUUCUUGAUUGCUCAUUGCUCUCUGUGCCUGGUUUGCGGUCUCCACUUAAAUUCCCUAUUCUUCUCUUGAUGAUCUGUCACGUAUCUGUAACUUGCGAGAUUCUCGCCAACCGGUGAUGCAAUCGUUACUGGAAUCUUAUUACGGGCGUCGGAAACGUAGCUGAUCGUUGUCUGUUCGAAAUGGUCAUCCUGCCUUCUUCUUUUCCGAGCAGAGAUGGAUCCUUCCCUUUACAGAUUUCUUUAUGGAUCCACGAGUCAAUUAAGUCGUGGUUUCCUAGAACCAGCAGAGCGAUCGUGGUAAUCCAGGUUAGGACAAAAUAUUCUUAGUCAAACUCUUCAGCAUUUACACAGAGCAAGUAUGCGACUGAUCUGAUCACCAAUUUAUUUGCAGUUUAGCUGAUGUAUCUGAUCUCCUGAGCAUUAAUUUUGUAACCGAAAGAAGAGAUAUUGGAAUAUGAUAUCAAAUUGAACAAGUGAUUCCUGUCUUCAGUGCUUUGUAAUCAAGUAUGUUUGUUCUGAAACACUAUAUCUUGUUGUUAAUUGCAUGCUUGUCGGAUUUGUGGAUAAUAUCUUCUGGGAAAACAAUUGCCAUUUUUCUUUCGUCUGUCAUUUUCCUUUCCAACCAUAAAGUCGUGAUUACAUGAUCAUACACUGCGUGUUCACUUUGAUGCUAGAGAUAGCCCUGAGUUGAUGGAGGGUUUAGGGCCUUUUAGAGGAUCCUGAUGAACUCUACUAUCAGAACGUUAAUUUUAUAGAUGUGUGUACUGAGGAGUUUGAUAUAAGACGGUUCUUCAUUGAAUGUGUUUGUCAGCUGGGCGAAGCAUUCAUUUAAACACCAAAGAUGUGAGGUUACAGUGUUGGUGACCUCAAAAUGGACCAGAUACCAUAUAAGACUAGCUAGCCUAAGCAAACUAUGACCUUAGAUUAGAUUGACAGGAGCAACGUACAUUUCUAUGUAAUUAUAUUUAUAUAAGUGAGGCAGAUCGGCGUCGGUCCUCCGGGUUAUCACGGUCAGCAGCUGUUAAAGAGCUUAGCGCGCACCUCCCCGAACCGUUCUCGGCUGAGGCAAUCGGCUCUCGUCAUCAGCGACUCUUGCAUGGCACAUGAGGAGGAGGAAGGGAAAAAAGAAAAAGAGAUCAGAGAAUGUCUCA